GCUCGGUUAGCUCAGUUGGUUAGAGCGUCGUACUAAUAUCUUUCGGAGUUCAUCCGGGACAUAUCAUGUAAUGCGAAGGUCAUGAGUUCAACCCUCAUACUGAGCA